GAUGAACGCUGGCGGCGUGCCUAACACAUGCAAGUCGAACGGAGUUAUUUUGGAAAGUUCUUCGGAACUGGAAUCUAUAACUUAGUGGCGGACGGGUGAGUAACGCGUGAGCAAUCUGCCCUUAGGUGGGGGAUAACAGUCGGAAACGGCUGCUAAUACCGCAUAAAACAUUUUGAAGGCAUCUUCGAAAUGUCAAAGAUUUAUUGCCUUUGGAUGAGCUCGCGUCUGAUUAGCUGGUUGGUGAGGUAACGGCUCACCAAGGCGACGAUCCGUAGCUGGUUUGAGAGGACGACCAGCCACACUGGGACUGAGACACGGCCCAG
rnacentral:rRNA from 1 species